rnacentral:rRNA from 1 species
ACUACGAUGACUUGGCGUACGUGCCCCACUCCUUUUUUUUCUGCGGUGGGUCAAUAGGAGGAGCAGGGGUACGCGUAAGGGGUUAGGGAGGGUGGAAGAAGGAGGGGACGAGCACGGGCCAACUGGUUGAAGGAAGGGCGUAGCCUCGGGGUGGUCUCGUUGGGGCGGCGGCCGGUAACGCGGGGUCGGGUGGAGCGUGGCGGUGACGGGGAGGGCGCGGCGCGUUGAGAGGGGAUGCGACCUAGGUACCACCGGUGCCGGGAGGGCGCGGCGGGUUGAGAGGGGAUGCGGCCUAGGUAACGCCGGUGCCGGGAGGGCGCGGCGGGUUGAGAGGGGAUGCGGCCUAGGUACCGCCGGUGCCGGGAGGGCGCGGCGGGUAGGAGAGGUUGUGGCCUAGGUACCUCCGGUGUUGGGGAGGGCACGUGACAGCCGCUACCUAGGCCCGUGAUGGCGGUCCGGCGAGUUCCUGCCGCUACUUAGCCUGGAGGUGGCGGUGGGGCGCUUACCGGCUGCUACCUAGACCCGUGGUAGAAGUGGGCAGUGCGGCGGGGAGCGGCCGCUGCCUCGUUCGCCGAGGUGAAGCCAUAUCCGAGGCCGCGGCGGGAAGGGGCUGGUUUAGUUGGACGACGACGACGGAGAGUAGAAGAAGCCCGAACGGAGGGUACCGGAAGGGUGCACGUGACAGAGGAGCGGCCGCCGACGCGGGUGGUGGAGAGGCACCGGGGAGAAACCAAGAGGAGGACGAUCGUUCGGCCGAGUCCGUCGUGCGAGGUCGGUACCACUCGGAGGGCGCACACGGACACGUCACGUGCCAAGGAGCUCCACGUCACGCCGCCCACACGCACGUGGGGUCCAGUUUCGUUGUCACGUCAUUACUCCUACCUUCGCGUCCACCGUCACGUGCCACUCGAGCUCCAGCGACUCCCGGAGGGAGACGGGUACGCGCACACUACAUCACACCUUGGUUCCGGUCGAGAAGUGGCUGGGGGGAAGUAGUAUAAGGCCACUCCAUGGUCGGGUAUGUACUAUCCGUCAUGACUGCCGCUGCGGUACGUCAAGCGGCACGCUUAGGGCAGGUCCAAACCACAACAAGUCUUGGUAAAGAUGACGAAAGUCUUCUUUUUUUACUACUCAACAAAAACUACGUCACGUCAAGUCUGCGAGUAACUCCUGAACGUCGAGCGGGCGCUCACCGAGCACCAGGCGCGUCGAGCCCGCACGUCACUUGAUAACCAAGGAGGUAGCGACGUUCAGGAGGUGGACAACGCGGCAGGAGGUGCCAUGUCAGGUGUGCCGGUCUCAUACGGUGUCGGGUGUUGAGGUCGUCCCCCAUUUUCUCACAAACGUCCUAACCGUGUACAUGAAGGUCGUUCCGCCGUUGCGUAGGUACGUUCAAAAAAAGAAGGCACAGAAACAUGUCGAGCCGCCACACCGUCACACGUGGAGGUCGCCAAGUAGAGCACACACACACACACACACACACACACAGACACGUCAGGCCGCAACCAGUAGAUACAACGGCACUAAACCAGCGACAGCUGAUACAUACCAACAUGUCACGCCAGUUCGCUACACACGCCAAAUCGGAGCGCUCACAACGUCAAAGCAAGUGGUACCGGCAAACCAAACACAACAAGCGGCCCAGAACGAUAAAAAAAUAAGACAAGCUAACAACCGAACAAUACAUUUUGAACGUUUCAAACAAAGCAUUAACAACCUUUUGAGUUAUAUCAAGAAGACGGUUUGAUGCACCAAGCAACAUUCUUAACUUUUCCUCUUUCCUAAGACACUGUUUUUUUACAAACUGAUUACUACAUCGAGUAAUAUAUACCAAACCACCAAGCGAGGUAUUUUCUUUUUGC